rnacentral:rRNA from 1 species
UGAGGAAUAUUGGGCAAUGCCCGCAAGGGUGACCCAGCAACGCCGCGUGGAGGAUGAAUGUCGUAAGAUUGUAAACUCCUGUUAGAGGGGAAGAAUAGUACCGGUUGGACCGGUAUAUGACUGUACCCUCAGAGAAAGCCCCGGCUAACUACGUGCCAGCAGCCGCGGUAAUACGUAGGGGGCAAGCGUUGUCCGGAUUUACUGGGUGUAAAGGGCGCGCAGGCGGGAUAAAAAGUCAGUGGUGAAAUCCUACAGCUUAACUGUAGAACUUCCUUUGAUACUUUUAUUCUUGAGUUCGGGAGGGAGAGACGGAAUUCCAGGUGUAGUGGUGAAAUACGUAGAUAUCUGGAAGAACACCAGUUGCGAAGGCGGUCUCUUGGUCCGACACUGACGCUGAGGCGCGAAAGCGUGGGGAGCAAACA